ACUCCUACAGGAGGCAGCAGUGGGAAAUAUUGGACAAUGGGGGGAACCCUGAUCCAGCCAUGCCGCGUGUGUGAAGAAGGCCUUAUGGUUGUAAAGCACUUUAAGCGAGGAGGAGGCUACUGAGACUAAUACUCUUGGAUAGUGGACGUUACUCGCAGAAUAAGCACCGGCUAACUCUGUGCCAGCAGCCGCGGUAAUACAGAGGGUGCGAGCGUUAAUCGGAUUUACUGGGCGUAAAGCGUGCGUAGGCGGUCUUUUAAGUCGGAUGUGAAAUCCCCGAGCUUAACUUGGGAAUUGCAUUCGAUACUGGGAAGCUAGAGUAUGGGAGAGGAUGGUAGAAUUCCAGGUGUAGCGGUGAAAUGCGUAGAGAUCUGGAGGAAUACCGAUGGCGAAGGCAGCCAUCUGGCCUAAUACUGACGCUGAGGUACGAAAGCAUGGGAGCAAACAGGAUUAGAUACCCCUGGUAGCGACUGA
rnacentral:rRNA from 1 species